GGGGAAUUUUCCGCAAUGGGCGAAAGCCUGACGGAGCAAUGCCGCGUGGAGGAGGAAGGCCCGAGGGUUGUAAACUCCUUUUCUCAGAAAAGAAGAUCUGACGGUACUUGAGGAAUAAGCCACGGCUAAUUCCGUGCCAGCAGCCGCGGUAAUACGGGAGUGGCAAGCGUUAUCCGGAAUUAUUGGGCGUAAAGCGUCCGCAGGCGGUCUUGUAAGUCUGUCGUUAAAGCGUGGAGCUUAACUCCAUUUCAGCGAUGGAAACUGCAAGACUAGAGUGUGGUAGGGGCAGAGGGAAUUCCCGGUGUAGCGGUGAAAUGCGUAGAUAUCGGGAAGAACACCAGUGGCGAAGGCGCUCUGCUGGGCCAUAACUGACGUUCAUGGACGAAAGCCAGGGGAGCGAAAGGGAUUAGAUACCCCUGUAGUC
rnacentral:rRNA from 1 species